ensembl:misc_RNA Y_RNA Y RNA
GGCUGGUCCGAACGUAGUGAGUUAUCUCACGUGAUUGUUCACAGUCAGUUACAGAUUGAACUCCUUGUUCUACUACUUUCCCCCCUCCUCACUACUGCACUUGACUAGUCUUAA